CAACUUAUCUGGAUGGGUUAAUGGAUGAUUAACAUGGCCUAUAACCUAGAACAAUGAUAUUCAUUACACAUUGAAGGAGUGUUUUUUUAAAGUAUGUCCAAGUAACAAAGUCUACCCCAUAAUUUGUGUCUUAUGGGGCUUGCGUUCGUGCAACCCCUAU
rnacentral:snRNA from 1 species